CCAAUCGAACCCGGAGAUAGCUGGUUCUCCUCGAAAUAGCUUUAGGGCUAGCCUCAUACAAGUCUUGCGGAGGUAGAGCACUGAAUUUCCUAGGGGGCGUCAAAGCUUACCGAAGAAUAUCAAACUCCGAAUGCCGUGUAGAUGUUGUAUGGGAGUCAGACUGUACGAGAUAAGUUGGACAGUCAAAAGGGAAAGAGCCCAGACCGCCGGCUAAGGUCCCAAAGUGGGUGUUAAGUGGAAAAGGAUGUGGGAUCUCUAAGACAACCAGGAUGUUGGCUCAGAAGCAGCCAUUCAUUAAAAGAGUGCGUAACAGCUCACUGGUCGAGAGGUCCUGCGCCGAAAAUGUCCGGGGCUGAAACACCACACCGAAGCCGCGGAACCCGUAAGGGUUGGUAGAGGAGCAUUCUUAGGGGAGCGAAGCAUUACCGGAAGGGGAUGUGGACCGCUAAGAAGAGAGAAUGCCGGAAUGAGUAGCGAGAGCAAGGUGGGAAUCCUUGCGGCCGAAUAUCCAAGGUUUCCAGAGUAAAGCUGAUCUGCUCUGGGUAAGUCGGGGCCUAAGGAGAGGCAGAGAUGCGUAUCCGAUGGACAGCAGGUUUAAGAUUCCUGCACCCCUUGUUAUCAGAACUGCGGGGACACGGGAAGGGAAGCAGAGCCGGGAAUGGAAAGCCCGGUGCAAGCGAAGUAGUCGCAGGGUUGGAAAAUCCGCCCUGCAUGAGACGAAGGCGUGAUGCGGAGCGAAAUGAAGUAGUGAAGCUGCGGCCCCUUCCUGUCGAGAAAAGCCGCUAUCGUGUAGCAAGGGCCCGUACCGUAAACCGACACAGGUGGAUGAGGAGAGGAUCCUAAGGCCGGCGGGAGAAGUGUUGUUAAGGAACUCGGCAAAAUGACUCCGUAACUUCGGGAGAAGGAGUGCUGCGCAAGCAGCCGCAGAGAAAUGGCCCAAGCAACUGUUUAGCAAAAACACAGGUCUAUGCGAAACCGAAAGGUGAGGUAUAUGGGCUGACGCCUGCCCGGUGCUGGAAGGUUAAGGGGAGAGGUUAGCGCAAGCGAAGCUUUGAACUUAAGCCCCAGUAAACGGCGGCCGUAACUAUAACGGUCCUAAGGUAGCGAAAUUCCUUGUCGGGUAAGUUCCGACCCGCACGAAAGGCGUAAUGAUUUGGGCACUGUCUCAACAACACACCCGGUGAAAUUGAAAUACCAGUGAAGAUGCUGGUUACCCGCGCCAGGACGGAAAGACCCCAUGGAGCUUUACUCCAGCCUGAUACUGGGAUUCGGUAUUGCAUGUACAGGAUAGGUGGGAGGCUAAGAACUCAUGGCGCCAGCCGUGAGGGAGCCGGUGUUGGGAUACCACCCCUGCAGUACUGGGUUUCUAACCUGCGCCCGUGACCCGGGCGGGGGACAAUGUCAGGCGGGGAGUUUGACUGGGGCGGUCGCCUCCGAAAGGGUAUCGGAGGCGCUCAAAGGUUCCCUCAGAAUGGUUGGAAACCAUUCGAAGAGUGCAAAGGCAGAAGGG
rnacentral:rRNA from 1 species